rnacentral:rRNA from 1 species
UACGUAGGCAGCGAGCGUUGUUCGGAAUUACUGGGUGUAAAGGGUUCGUAGGCGGUGUAGCAAGUCGGGAGUGAAAUCUCUGGGCUCAACCCAGAGACUGCUUCCGAAACUGCUGUGCUUGAGUGUGGGAGAGGCGCGUGGAAUUGCAGGUGUAGCGGUGAAAUGCGUAGAUAUCUGCAGGAACACCCGUGGCGAAAGCGGCGCGCUGGACCACUACUGACGCUGAGGAACGAAAGCUAGGGGAGCAAACAGG